rnacentral:sRNA from 3 species
GCUUCGACCAAGGUUCGACUUGAGCGCCAGCGAGAGAGCGUUGCCGCAGGCAACGACCCGAAGGGCGAAGCGCGCAGCGCUGAGUAAUCCUUCCCCCACCACCA